UUCGAUCUACUUCGAUCUCACCCAUUUAGAUUUGCGUGGAUUCUGGAACCCAUUUGUUCUGCAUGAAUUCCAUCGUCUCAAAUUUCACAGACGGUGGCUUAACGACUAGUGUGAGAGGACUUAAAGCAAUCGAUUGGGGCCAUCCUGGAAAGCUGUGGGUUUUUUAGCUGACGGAUAGUGUGUGCGAAAAAAGUUUUAGACUAAAUGCUUUUUUUAUUUAUGAGGCUACAAGAUGGUUUAAUUGUUGCAUCUCAGAUUACGGAAUGACCUAACUUUUAUUUGGUUGUGUACCGACGUUCUAGAGGGUGAAGGCAUGAAUGUCGAGAAAAGAGGACGAUUCAGGUUUUGAACUAACUUCUUUUUUCUCUAAUAUGAGGAGGUCUGGAUGUGUCGCAGGUGUACCUCUCGAUCUAGACGUUGCCUUUCUACGGCAAUGUUGCUCAGUUUGCAAUUUUCGGUUCGUCAUCGAGACACAGAUGCGGAGAAAUAAAGGGUGAUUUAAGGGUGUGUGUUAAGGUUUUUGGAGUGUGUGUACUUGCGGCGUUGAGCCAUGCUCUGAGUGAUUAUUAGCUCAAUAUUUGACCAGUCGAGGGACAGAAGUGUUUCAGAUUUUGCAUACGAACGGUAAGAAUAACGUCACGGUGGCUAGCAAAGCGGAACCCAACUUCCACACCCACGACCUUUAGUUCUUCUCUAGUCGUUAAAUUUGCCCUUGCGAGCGCACUGGUACGCAAUCUUCCGCUCUUCGAGCAACUUAACGGCCUCGGUUCUGAAUUCUCCCCAGGGUUGGAUUCAGCCAUGGCUGGACUUGAUAACCGCCAGUGACUCCAUUUCCAUUAUACUUACCAUCUGGCUUAGCAGAUUCCAUAGCUCAUUGAGCAUAAUUGUAUUAUCAACUUUUGGAUGCUAUGUUUAUCCUUUUUCAAUCUAUAGCUUCCAGAGAUGGUAUGUCCAAGGAGUUACAAGACUGUAUGACGAAAUGGCAACCUCGUACAUGAGAUUCCAAGUCCUCCAAGGCCUCAACAGAAGGCCUUCAUGGUAUCAAUCAGUUGCAUCAACAACUCUCGACUCUCUCACGAAUUGUUUCUUCUAAACCGAUGGGCUCUCUCGCCUUAAAGCAUGCAUUUCCAGCCCUCUGGCGUUCCUGAGAGAUGACUAUCUAAACAUCAGUGACACUGUGACGCGCGACAUCAGAGUGCCAUCUGUGGCUCUCAACUCUCACAUGGUGUUGAUAAGAGGAUUAGGAUCCAACUCGAAGAAAGCAGACAUGAACAAGAUGACGAACCACCGUGGAAAAGACAUAGACAAUGAGAUUGGAUUUGAUAUGCUUGUGCAAAUCAGGAACGCCAAGCGAUCUGGUAAGAAUCCGACUUACAGUUAGUAGAUAUGAAAAUCUGGGUUGUAUGAUUGAGUGAGAAUCCCUCUAUCCAUAAAUAGGAAUUUUAAGCAUAUCUUGCAACAACAAAAUAUCUUAGCAAUACAUGUUCAUCUUUCUAGCGAGCCAAGAAUAUCAUUCUUAAAGCACACGACAAAGCCA